CGGCGCCGCGAGAAAUAGGUUUAAAAGAAAGUUAUUACAAUGCGUAUCAUUUUUAUCACAGUUCUUUUUGCAUCGAUAAUGUUAUUGGAGGCUAUAUUAACAGGAACUGACCCUAAACAGGGGUUUGAAGUGAAAUACGGUUGCUAUAAAUCAUACUGCUGGUCAUAUUGUUAUUAUCUUGAACCGAUGUGGUGUUGGACUAGUAAGUCAGCUUAUGAUGGAAAAAAAUCAUGUACGAAAGAUGAGCACUGUAAUGGUUAUUUCUACAAGUGUGUAUCAGCGUGUGGUUUCUAACACAUAUAAUUUUGAAUUAUUUUUCCUUUUUUUGCCUUUUAUUAAAAUCUUUUAAGCUUUUGCGAGACAUUAUUAAUCUGCUGACUUUGAUUUUUAAAAUUUUUAAUUAUUUUGUAUAAAAUUGUAAUUUUUUUGAAAAUACAAAUUUUUGUAUUUGA
rnacentral:lncRNA from 1 species